rnacentral:rRNA from 1 species
GACGAACGCUGGCGGCGUGCUUAACACAUGCAAGUCGAACGGAAAGGCCCUGCUUUUGUGGGGUGCUCGAGUGGCGAACGGGUGAGUAACACGUGAGUAACCUGCCCUUGACUUUGGGAUAACUUCAGGAAACUGGGGCUAAUACCGGAUAGGAGCUCCUGCUGCAUGGUGGGGGUUGGAAAGUUUCGGCGGUUGGGGAUGGACUCGCGGCUUAUCAGCUUGUUGGUGGGGUAGUGGCUUACCAAGGCUUUGACGGGUAGCCGGCCUGAGAGGGUGACCGGCCACAUUGGGACUGAGAUACGGCCCAGACUCCUACGGGCGGCAGCAGUGGAGAAUAUUGCACAAUGGGCGGAAGCCUGAUGCAGCAACGCCGCGUGCGGGAUGACGGCCUUCGGGUUGUGAACCGCUUUCGCCUGUGACGAAGCGUGAGUGACGGUAAUGAGUAAAGAAGCACCGGCUAACUACGUG